AUAAUUUUAACAGCUUGAAUGACAAUUUUAAAUCUGUUCUUAUCAUUUUAAUAACUGAUACUGCCUCUCUCUGAGGACUAUCUAUUAAACUGAUGUUUGGAAUAGGGAGAUGGAAUAGCAGCUUGCGUCAUCCACUGCACACAUGGCCCUGUUAUUGCAGUACUGAACCUUUAGGAAGAGGAGCAAAG
rnacentral:snRNA from 1 species